UCCCCCGGAUUAUAUUGGGGGUAUUACCUGCCCUAUGCGUAAAGUAAAUGGCCGCAGUAUACCUGACUGUGCUAAGGUAGCAUAAUUACUUGACACUUAAUUAGUGUCUUGUUUGAAUGGUUUAACGAGAUUAAUGAUUUUUUUAUUUUAAAAGAAUUUUUAAUUCUUGUAAGAAUACUAGUUUAUAAAGAAAGACGAGAAGACCCUACAGAGCUUUUAAGCUAUAGAUAAAGUUUAUUAGAUGGGGCAUCAGAAUUUUUUUCAAAAAUUUUUUGUUCUUCUUAGGAAAGAAGGUAAAGUUACCUUAGGGAUAACAGAGUAAUUUCUUUUGAGAGUACUUAUUGAGAAAGAAGUUUGCUACCUCGAUGUUGGAUCAAAAUUACUAUUUGGUUGCAGGAGCUAAAAGAGUGUGUCUGUUCGACAUUAAAAAUUUUACG
rnacentral:rRNA from 1 species